GAUGAACGCUGGCGGCGUGCCUAAUACAUGCAAGUCGAGCGAACAGACGAGGAGCUUGCUCCUCUGACGUUAGCGGCGGACGGGUGAGUAACACGUGGAUAACCUACCUAUAAGACUGGGAUAACUUCGGGAAACCGGAGCUAAUACCGGAUAAUAUAUUCAACCGCAUGGUUCAAUAGUGAAAGACGGUUUUGCUGUCACUUAUAGAUGGAUCCGCGCCGCAUUAGCUAGUUGGUAAGGUAACGGCGUACCAAGGCGACGAUGCGUAGCCGACCUGAGAGGAUGAUCGGCCACACUGGAACUGAGACACGGUCCAGACUCCUACGGGAGGCAGCAGUAGGGAAUCUUCCGCAAUGGGCGAAAGCCUGACGGAGCAAUGCCGCGUGAGUGAUGAAGGUCUUCGGAUCGUAAAACUCUGUUAUUAGGGAAGAACAAAUGUGUAAGUAACUAUGCACGUCUUGACGGUACCUAAUCAGAAAGCCACGGCUAACUACGUG
rnacentral:rRNA from 1 species